rnacentral:rRNA from 1 species
GACGAACGCUGGCGGCGUGCUUAACACAUGCAAGUCGAGCGGAAAGGCCCUUCGGGGUACUCGAGCGGCGAACGGGUGAGUAACACGUGAGUAACCUGCCCCAGACUUUGGGAUAACCCUCGGAAACGGGGGCUAAUACCGGAUACGACACAGCUUCGCAUGGGGUCUGUGUGGAAAGUUUUUCGGUUUGGGAUGGGCUCGCGGCCUAUCAGCUUGUUGGUGGGGUGAUGGCCUACCAAGGCGACGACGGGUAGCCGGCCUGAGAGGGCGACCGGCCACACAGGGAAUGAGAAACGGGCCAGAAUCCUACGGGAGGCAGCAGUGGGGAAUAUUGCACAAUGGGCGGAAGCCUGAUGCAGCGACGCCGCGUGAGGGAUGACGGCCUUCGGGUUGUAAACCUCUUUCAGCAGGGACGAAGCGUAAGUGACGGUACCUGCAGAAGAAGCGCCGGCCAACUACGUG